rnacentral:rRNA from 1 species
UACGUAGGUGGCAAGCGUUGUCCGGAUUUACUGGGCGUAAAGGAUGCGUAGGCGGAUGUUUAAGUGAGAUGUGAAAUACCCGAGCUCAACUUGGGUGCUGCAUUUCAAACUGAAUAUCUAGAGUGCAGGAGAGGAAAGCGGAAUUCCUAGUGUAGCGGUGAAAUGCGUAGAGAUUAGGAAGAACACCAGUGGCGAAGGCGGCUUUCUGGACUGUAACUGACGCUGAGGCAUGAAAGCGUGGGGAGCAAACAGG